CCGGCGGGAGGGAGGCUGCGGACGAGGGCGGGGAGGAGUUUGCGAUGGGAGGCGCCUGCAGGGGCUCCCCCAGUUCUGCGCUGUGAGCCGGGGCACAAAGAGCUCUCUGCACUGGCGCCGCAAGACCGCGGACCCGAGGAGAGCAUUUUGGCAAAUGCUGUGAUUUCAGAACACAGGCUGGCAUCUACUCUCCAGUGCAUCCAUGGCUACAUUUCCCACCAUCUUUGGCGUCUACUCUCCACCGCACCCACGGCUACAUUUCCCACCCCAUCUUUCCUUCUCUCUCGAUGACAGCUGGAGGCAUCUCCCUGCCUACCCGUAUGGUUCCAGACACAUUCAUGUGGCCGCCGUGAUCCUACCAGCAUCAAAGGAGUAACCAAGAGUGCAAGACCCUGAGACAGAGGAGAAGGAAGGGAAUAUCCGGGUUCUUGGAGAUGUUCAGGACCACUCUGGGAAGCAGCCUUGCAGAUAAGUAUUCAAACUUCCCAGCUCACAGCCUACCAGCCUGCCCUCUCCUGCCCUCUACUGGUCGGUGGAGCAAAGUACAGCAUCCCUGAAUCCCCAAGUCCAAGGAGAAAUCAGCGCUCCAGCUCUUUUGCUUUCCUAUCCCUAAGACACAAAGAAAAAGCUUGUCCCCAUUUUAUGGGGCCCCAGAGAGUAAUUUUCCUACCCCACUUUUGACAUCAAGGCUAGUAUUUUACAAACUCCACCCUCAGGGACUUCUGAGGAGCUGAGUUUGGUAACUUCAUCUUGAGAACCUGUAGAUCUGGUGUCAGGAGGAGACUGGGGACUCCUGGUGAUUUGGGCUGGCCCUUCCCUUCUUGGUUCUUGUCCUCUGUCAUCAUAUUUAUAAAACUUGGCUAGGGCUCCUUUUCUUGCCUGGCAGUCAAGUGGGGACCUCGACACUGUGACCCCUGGGCACAUGCUUCUUGGUUUAAGGGUCUGAGUACCUCUCCUGCUCUGGGCCCGGGCCCCCAAGUCCAGGUGCUGACAGCAAGCUCUGGAGAUGCGGUGAACGGGCCGAGCCUGCCACUGGGUGAAGAUAACUUUGUCGCUGUUUGUUGUUUAGUCCCUAAAUCGUGUCUGACUCUUUGCCAU